GUGUCAGCAGCCGCGGUAAGACGUAGGGGGCCAGCGUUGCUCGGAAUUACUGGGCGUAAAGGGUCCGUAGGCGGUGCGGUAAGUCGGGAGUGAAAUCUCUGGGCUUAACUCAGAGGCUGCUUCCGAAACUACCGUGCUAGAGUGCGAGAGAGGCAAGUGGAAUUGCGGGUGUAGCGGUGAAAUGCGUAGAUAUCCGCAGGAACAUCCGAGGCGAAAGCGGCUUGCUGGAUCGCAACUGACGCUGAGGGACGAAAGCUAGGGGAGCAAACAGAAUUAGAUACCCCGGUAGUCCCAGCCCUAAACGAUGGAUACUAGGUGUCAGGGGUAUCAACCCCCCUGGUGCCGCCGCUAACGCAGUAAGUAUCCCGCCUGGGGAGUACGGCCGCAAGGUUGAA
rnacentral:rRNA from 1 species